AUGUGCAAAUUUAGUCCUAGCCAAUCAGACGACGACAAGUGGAGCCUAGUCAGCAGAGCCGGUCAGCGCAGCACAUUUUGCAAUUAUCCCCUGGCCUUAGCAGUAAUCAACCCGCUCCAACCCGGGUGCGUGGCUCAUCCUCCGGCCCGCCGGCGACGGCGCGUGGGAGCCAUGGGGCCGCCUCGAGUGCUGGCGCGAGCGCGGCGGGGCGGGGCGGGGUCGUCCGACAGCCUCGGCUACCGCUUCGACCUCCUCGUCCCCGGCGUGGACCACGCCGUCCCCAUCGCGGACUCCACCAUCGCCGCGUCCAAGGGCGGCAAGUUCGCGCUCGACCUGACAGCCGCGCAGCCCCUGAGCCGGGGGAGCACCCCGGGCUGCAGCCCGCGAGGCAGCGACGACUUCAGCCAGUGGCCUCUGGGGAACUACCGCGGGUUCAUGAUGUCGGCGGUGGUGGAGGGCGAGGGGCGGUGCAGCAAGCCCACGGUGGAGGUCGGGGUGGCGCACGUCGGGUGUGCGGAAGACGCGGCGGCGUUCGUGGCGCUGGCGGCGGCAGUGGACCUGAGCAUGGACGCGUGCAGGCUCUUCUCGCACAAGCUCAGGAAGGAGCUCUCGCACCUGCGGUCGGACGUCCUCCGGCGACCGCCGGCGGCCGGCAAACAUCUCAUUCCGACGAGCAAACUGUACAAAGUAGAGCCGAUAAUCUAG
rnacentral:rRNA from 1 species